GUUAUUUUGUUAUUAUUAUUUAUUGUUGUUUUUUAGAAUUAACUUAAUUUAUUAGUAUAUUUUAUUGAAAUUUUUAUUUUAAUUAUAGUUUAUUGUACUGUAAAGGAGUCAAUUUAUUUAUUUAUAAGUAAAUGUUUGUUGUUGUACCUUUUGUAUCAGGGUUUAUUAAUUAUAUUGUAUAUAUUUGCAUUUCUCGAAGUUUAGGGAGUUAACUUAAUAUGAAAUUUUAUGUAACAUAAUAAUUUAGAAUAUUAAGUUAGUGGUUAUAUGCUAUUCAUUCUUUAUUAUCUGGUUUUUUAAGAAUUGAAUUUAAUUCAGGAUUUAUUUUAUAUAUUUUUAUUUAAUUAAAUGUAUUUUUUAAAUCUAAAAUUAGAGGGGAUAAUCUUUCUAGUUAUUUUAUAAUUUACUUAUUUAUCAAGAGUUGUAGGAUUAAAAAUUUCUAUCAUUGAAUUUUUUUAUAAUUUAUCUUGUUUAUUUAAUUAUUUCAUUAUAUUUAAAUUUUUAUUGAAACUUAAAAACUAACUUUAAAUUUUUAGUGAUAAUGAUAGAAUUAGUAGUUAUGAAAAUUUAAAUAUAGUAAUUCGGCAAUUUUAAUUUCCGCCUGUUUACCAAAAACAUGUCCUGAAGAUUUUAAUUUUAGGUUUGGCCUGCUCAAUGAUUUUAAAUAGCUGCAGUAUUUUAACUGUACAAAGGUAGCAUAAUAAUUUGUCUCUUAAUUGGGGACUUGAAUGAAUGGUUGGACGAGAAAUUAACUUUCUUUAUUUAAAUUUAUGAAUUUAAUUUUUUAGUUAAAAAGCUAAAAUUUUUUUAUAGGAAGAGAAGACCCUAUAGAAUUUUAUAAUUUAUCCAAUUUAUAUUUUUAUUUACUCCAUAGGAAAUUGGAUAAAUUAUUUAGUUGGGGUGAUUGUGGAAUUUACUUAACUUCCAUUAAUUUUUUUCAUAGGUUAGUGUUUUUAAGAUCCAUUAUUAAUGAUUACAAGAUUAAAUUACCUUAGGGAUAACAGCGUAAUUCUUUUGGAGAGUUCAAAUCGAUAAUAGAGUUUGCGACCUCGAUGUUGGAUUAAAGUUAUUUUUGGGUGUAGAAUUUCAAUUAAUAGGUCUGUUCGACCUUUAAAUCUUUACAUGAUCUGAGUUCAGACCGGCGUGAGCCAGGUUGGUUUCUAUCCAUAAUUUUUUCUUAUAUUCUAGUACGAAAGGACCGAAUAUGAAUAAUAUUUAUUUUUUAUUGAUUUAUAUU
rnacentral:rRNA from 1 species